rnacentral:rRNA from 1 species
GACGAAGGAUGCAAGCGUUAUCCGGAUUCAUUGGGUUUAAAGGGAGCGUAGGUGGUCUUAUAAGUCAGUGGUGAAAUCUCGCAGCUUAACUGCGAAACUGCCAUUGAUACUGUAGGACUUGAGUAUAGUUGCUGUGGGCGGAAUAUGACAUGUAGUGGUGAAAUACUUAGAGAUGUCAUAGAACACCGAUUGCGAAGGCAGCUCACAAAACUAUAACUGACACUGAGGCUCGAAAGUGACGGGGAUCAAACAGG